UUAUACUGUCGACUAUGAGAUUUAUUUAAAAUUAUUCUUGUUUUUCAAAUGAUAAUGAUUCUAUUGAAAUUACAAAACAUAAUAUAUCUAUUUCUGGAGAAUUCAUAAUGAUCUGAAACAUAUUGAUUAAGCCGCAUAAUCGCAGAAUGAUACAGCCAAACAAUCAAGAAGCAUAGGGACAUAUGAUCCAUGAUGAGCAGCUACAAACAAAAUCCAAUGUACAUAUUCUGAUGAUAUUCGACAUCCAAAGAAGAAGAAUGAUAAAGGCCAUUCCAUUUUUCUUAUUAUCAUUUUCUGAAAAAGUAAAGACGACCAGAAGCAGGAUUGCCGGACAAUGAAUAAUCAAUUUUCCUUCGGCAAAUUUUAAAUGGAAUAUAUGAUCAUCACAUUAUCACUGCUUUAUUAGACAGAAAAACGUCAUGUAUUAUGAUAUUUAGCUUUGGAUUAUGUAAUAUAUCUAUCUAAUGUACUAUUCACUAUUGAAAAAAAAUAUCUCUUGGAAUAAUAUAAAAGCAAAAAAAGUUCUUUUAAGCUAUCUAAUCUUGUCAUUUAGAAAUAUUUAUUUUUUUCUUGAUAUACAGGAGAUUUCCCUUGAAUAUUCAAAAUUAUAAAUAAAAAAAAAUUCUAUUGUACAAAUGAAACAUAAUUAUUUUCAAUUAUGAAUAGUCCUUGCUUUUCUUUAUCACACAAUUGAAUUGUGUGUAUCCGUAUUGAUAAAUAGUACGCUAAAUAAAGAAGAAUAUAUGUAAAUAAUAUUUUUAUGAAUUCCUUUUAAUUGUAAUGAAUCAGAUCCGAUUUUUUUUCAUAAGAUUCAAUAGUGAAUAUAAUAUGAUAUCAGAUAUUAUAUUAUUCUUAAGCAUAGGGCAUUCUUAAGAAGAAAUUUGCUGAAGGAGAAUUGAAUCAUUUUUAAUAACAGAAGGCAUCAUAUGCAGUAUCUUGAACAGAAAUCACAGUUAGUUCGUGAAUUGUUAAUUUAAUUUUUGGUUUAAAUUAUUUUAAAUUUUAAUAAUAAUAUUUAUAAAUUGCUGUGACUUCGAAAAAUAAAAUAUU